CACGUAGGGCGCAAGCGUUGUCCGGAAUUAUUGGGCGUAAAGAGCUCGUAGGCGGUCUGUUGCGUCUGCUGUGAAAACCCGGGGCUUAACCCCUGGCUUGCAGUGGAUACGGACAGACUAGAGGUAGGUAGGGGAGAAUGGAAUUCCCGGUGUAGCGGUGAAAUGCGCAGAUAUCAGGAGGAACACCGGUGGCGAAGGCGGGUCUCUGGGCCGUAACUGACGCUGAGGAGCGAAAGCAUGGGA
rnacentral:rRNA from 1 species